UAGCUUUGUGGAAUUGUGAAACCAGAGCUC
rnacentral:piRNA from 1 species